GCAUUGAUGGUUCAGUGGUAGAAUUCUUGAUUCAAAUAUAGAAGACGCAGGUUCAAUUCCUGCCCAGUGCA
rnacentral:tRNA from 1 species